ensembl:lncRNA LINC01203 long intergenic non-protein coding RNA 1203
UUUUUUUUUUUUUUUUUGACAGAGUCUCGCUUUGUCACCCAGGCUGGAGUGCAGUGGGGUGAUCUCGGCUCACUGCAGCCUCCACCUCCCAGGUUCAAGCGAUUCUCGUGCCUCUGCAUCCUGAAUAGCUGGGAUUACAGGUGUGCACCACCACAUCCUGCUGAUUUUUGUAUUUUGAGAGAUGGGGUUUUGGCACGUUGGCCAAGCUGGUCUCGAACUCCUGGCUUCAAGCAGUCCACCCACCUUGGCCUCCCAAAGUGCUGGAAUUACAGGCGUGCACCACCACGCCCGGCCAGAUCUUCAUAUAUCUAAGAUCCUGUCAAGAAGACAUGGUAAACCUCAUCAUGAUCAAGAAUGAGACUUUGCUUGCAUCCAGGCUUCCCAAAAGUUGUUUGAUAGUAUACAGGCAUGAGAUGGUGUGACUCUAACUCAUUAGAUGCCUUCGUCUUUUCAGUCAUCAUGUGAUGGAAAGAAAGCUAUCAACUUCAUUCCUGAGACUUCCUGCAACACAGAUCCAUCUAAACUUUUACUUCAUUGGAGGGUCCUUCCUGACCCAUGCAACUCAACAAAAAACUCUCACAGUUUUUAUAUGCUUUGUUGGGGAUUAACCCAUCUUGCAUUGCAUUGCUAGCUUAGUAUGUCUAGCAUGGGCAUGCCUGCUGAAGUUUGGAACUUCCCAUCAAGGAAACAGGAAAAUGCCAUUGGCAAUGAGCUGAAGACUGAUUUACUCUACCAGUUUGGAACAUCUGUUAUUGCUGCUACUACGGUUUCUAUCACUGUUUGAUGCUGGGACUCUUAAGCUCCAACCACGUUUUCACCGAGCUGAGUCGCCUUCUUAUCACCCCUUUCUGGAGCAGCAGGACAUCUGGGGAUGAGAAGAUGGAGAGAUCAUCCUUAUAUAAUGUUGCAGUCUGGAAGCAUCACUCUCAAAAAGCCAUUGUAGAGAAUCCAAGCCGAGUUUAAGAGUGCUGUGGAAAUACACUGCUGCUACUGCUGUUUCUAUUACUGUUUGAUGCUGGGACUCUUAUGCUCCAACCACGUUUUCACCCAGCUGAGUCGCCUUCGUAUCACGCCUUUCCAGUUCAACAAAGUGUGGACAGCUGUGCAGAAAUAUGAUUGGACAAAAAUGUUGUGAUCUAAAGCUAAUGGACUGAGUGUGGAAACCCAACAAGGCCUGUCUGUCUAGAUUCUUCUUGGCCUCUCUGAGCAGCGUUCCUUCCUUCUGGGUGUAAGGCAAGACCCUCUCUGGAGUGGGGGUGUUAUGACCUACAGUCAAACAAGAGAAAUAAAGUUCAUCACAGUGAGUCAAGAUGCCUCAUUCCAAGCUAUGGUGUAAAUUUCAUAGACUAAGAAAUGUGCAAGUUUCCUUUUUGCUAAGUAUGACACAUCACCUCUCUCUCACAAAGGGAUAUAUGUUGUUACUAAUGUAAACUCAUUAGUUUUGAUCAAUGUUUUGUGAACUCAAAAGUAUCUGAGACAGCUCUCAAUCAAUUUAGAAAGUUUAUUUUGUGAAGGUUAAGGACAUGCCCGUGACACAGCCUCAGGAGGUCCAGAUUACAUGUGCACAAGGUGGUCAGGGUACAGCUUGCCUUUAUACAUUUUAGGGAGACAUAAUACAUCAGUCAAUACAUGUAAGGUUUACAUUGUUUCGAUCUGGAAGGGUGGGGCAACUCGAAGCAGGAGUCGGGCUUCCAGGUCAUAGGUAGAUUUAAACAUUUUCUGAUUGGCAAUUGGUUGAAAGAGUUAUUAUCAGUAGAAAGAAUUGUUUGGGUUAUGAUAAGUGGUUGUGGAGGCCAAGGUUUUAUCAUGCAGAUGAAGCCUCCAGGUAGCAGGCUUCAGAGAAAUAGACUGUAAAUGUGUUUUUAUUGGACUUAAGGUCUGUGUUGAUAUUAAUGCUGGAGGGGUAUAAUGAGGCUUGUCCAACCCCCUCCUCCAUCAUGGCCUGAACUAGUUUUUCAGGUUAACUCUGGAAUGCCCUUGGCCAAAAGGAGGGGUUCAUUUAGAUGGUUGAGGGGCUUUAGAAUUUUAUUUUUGGUUCACAGGAUCAUGGUUAUAUAAGAUGUUAACAUUAGGAGAUGCUGGGUAAAAGGUAUAUGGGAACCUUCUGUACUGCCUUUGCAACUCUUCUAUAAAUCUAAAAUAAUUUCAAAAUGUUACUAUUAACUAUACUCGAGGUUAUUUAUGUCUAUUUUAUCUGAAUAAUGGGAAUAUCAUCUAA